GCGCCUAAUUUUUGAGCAGUACGAGCUUUACUCCAUCCGAACAAGAGCUUCUAUGCCAUGCAGAGGCACCUUCAUCCCUGUUCUCUCGGUGCUAGCCAACCAUCUGUUUCAACCUCCAUCAUCAGCAGAUUCAUCCAUGUCAAACCAGCAUCCUCCUGCCUGUGCUCCCUCCUGAUCCGGUGAUCCCCAUAGUCGCCCCCCAUCUGGUUCCGCCAUUGAGGGCACAUGCGGUGUGCCCUGUUUAGGAACUUGGGACCGGAAUUUGAUCGAUCGCUAACACAGAAAUUUCGCGGGGAUGCGCAGAGGAUAGAUGGGGAAGUUUCACAUCUGAUUCUUCUUCAUCAAGUGGUGCAGAAAGAUCUAUGAUAGGUUACUAGAUCUGGUGGCAAUUGGUUGAUCAGGUGUGGGCGUGCAGCAUGUCAAUCUGGUUCUGCAUAUAGAUGAGUUCAACUGCUUCUUCAUAGACUUGCUUUAUAAAACUGCAUUUUUGACUACUACAGUUGUUUAGUUGCUAAGUUGCUAGCAUUAUGCGUCUGAACACCUAGCAUAAUUUAUUUCUUCCUUCGUGCGUUGUUAUCCCGUUAUUGCUGUGAUAAUGAAAUCCUCCCAGAAAAUAAUAAACCUGUCAAACCAUUGAGUGAGACAAAA